AGAUGGCGACCGGCGCACGGGUGAGUAACACGUAUCCAACCUGCCGAUAACUCGGGGAUAGCCUUUCGAAAGAAAGAUUAAUACCCGAUGGUAUAAUCAGACCGCAUGGUUUGAUUAUUAAAGAAUUUCGGUUAUCGAUGGGGAUGCGUUCCAUUAGGCAGUUGGUGAGGUAACGGCUCACCAAACCUUCAAUGGAUAGGGGUUCUGAGAGGAAGGUCCCCCACAUUGGAACUGAGACACGGUCCAA
rnacentral:rRNA from 1 species